GGAUCAGACAGUGCUGGGCAGUUAUUAUAUGCUCAAUAAAUGCCUGUUAACUGACUCAAGAAUCAAAUUCAGCUGGCUGAAUUUAUGAUCACCUCUCAGCUAUCAAUUAGAUGUGGAAUUUAUCAGAUCGCAGGCAGAACCAGGGAAGAUAUUUUUGGAAGAGCAGGAGUUUGAUGAAAGGAUUUAUGGCUAGGCAUAAAAUCUUUCCUUCAAAACUGGAUGGUCGUUAAAUUGUUCUGUUAGCCAC
rnacentral:lncRNA from 1 species